GAUCCAUUUUAAGAAGUGACAAAUUCAUAUAUACACCUUUAGUGUUAAGUGUUUUACACAUGUAUACUAGUUAGACACUAACCUUAUAUGACUAAUUAGUCAUAUGCUUGGUAAGAUUUCCUUGCUGCCACGUCUCCUUUGGGGAAAAUUAUUAAUUUUUAUCCCCUUAUUAGUUAAUCAGGUAAUGUCCCGUUACUCGGUAAUUAACUAAUUACCUGAAAAAUUGAAAAUUAUUCCCACUUACUUAAAAUAUUACUCACUUUUUACAUACCUUAUACACCUUUCUAGCAUGGGCAUGUAGUACCUUGUAUGGCACUAGUCCAUAAAUACCGAGUAUUUUAGCUCGGGCCGUAUUUUAUCCCAAAAUACCAAAUUUCAGCGAAAUUUAUUUUCUUCGACUUGCUUCCCUUCUCACCUUCACGAAUUUAUUCAUCACUUAUAAUCCUUAUAAUCUCCAAAUAAUCUUUUCCUUGGACUGAUGUCAAUUACCUUACGACAAAUUCAACGUAAAAUACUGUAGGGUGCAACAUCGUCGUAACUUAUUACUGCAAAGCGUAACCUCACCGUAAUGUAAUACUGCUGGGUAGAACACUAUCGUAACUUAAUACUGUUGGACGUAACAUCAUCAUAAUAUAUUACUGCAGAGCAUACCAUUGUCGUAAUAUAAUACUGCGGGACGUAAUAUUGCAGGGUGUAACAAUAUUCCAGUCUCAUCCCCAUCUGAGAGUUACGAUUUUGUUGGCUAAGCUCUUUUGCAUGCAGAUCCUUCUCCAUCCCAUCCCCUGUUGCUGCUGCUACAGAUUGUUCUAGAUCUGGAGAUGGUAGAUCCAGCUUUAGAGAAUUGUAAUCUUCUCGGGCUUGCUGGCAAUUGGUCCUUGCACUUUUGAAUUUCCUUCUCCUUCACUACCUUUGUACUGUUCCAUUGGUUACUGUUACAUUUAUCUUCCUCACUUAGCUCAUUUUCCUCUCGAAUUGGUUGAAAUCGAGUGGGUAGAAAGCUUCCAAACGUUAAUGGAGUGAAUGACUGCAACCCUGAGGUCGCCGGUGUUACAGUAGCGAUCACCGGUGUUGUGUGUUUGCGUCUUCUUGCCAUCGAAAGUGCACGUUAGCCUCCCUUGGCUUAUUGUGCACCGAGAGCAUUUAGAGCAUUUUCCAACCUACAAAAGCAUCUAGAUAAAUACUUAUACGUGCUUGAAUAUCAUUUUACGGGAAUGAAUAACAUAGACAUCCUUAACUGCUAAGAGUAGAACCACUUAUGGAAUAUUAUUACUUUUACGUAUCAUUUCUUGGAUCAUGCCAAAAGAAAGAAAGAUUAGCCUUAACAUAUCUGAGUCGGUUCUCUGACAAUCCCUCUAACACAUAUUUUGUGAAGAACACGUAACGCCGGAUCAAAGUAGAAAAAAAUUCUUAUGAUAUUCUUGAGAAAGAUUGUACCGUACUUCCUUAAAAUUGCAAAUCCCACGUUGCUAUAGUAUUGAGUCAUUUCAUAUAAAUUGCUGAAGCAAAUCACGUUUGCAAGAUUUUAACGAUGUAAUGAAAAACGUUGCUUCAAAACACUCUUAAUUCAUGUUGCUUGCCAAAGAGAUCCCUUAAAUCUAAAGUGAAUGCUAAGGAGUAAAAUAAUUCCUAUGUUCCCUCACUGCCCGCCAGCUAUCCCUUCUGAAAUUUUCAUUUUAAUCAUGCCGCAUAUUUUAAUGAAUGCAUGAGUCAUCAUUUUUGUAAGCAAAAUCUGCCACGUGAUGUUCUUAUCCAAAAUAUUUUAGAUAAUUAUUAAUUAAUGUUUCCUCACUGCCCGCCAGCUAUUCCUUCUCAAAUUUUC
rnacentral:lncRNA from 1 species